rnacentral:misc_RNA from 1 species
UGUGAGAGGGGGCUUGCCCCCGAUAGCGCCAUGUCAGUCACAGCAUCGUUGACUGACACCCCCCAUCGGGGGCAAGCCCCCUCCCACA